GACGAACGCUGGCGGCGUGCCUAAUACAUGCAAGUAGGACGCAGUUGCGAACGGGUGAGUAACGCGUAGGUAACUACCUAUUAGAGGGGGAUAACUAAUGGAAACGAUAGCUAAUACCGCAUACUAGUAGAUGGACCUGCGUUGUAUUAGCUAGUAGGUAGGGUAAUGGACUACCUAGGCAACGAUACAUAGCCGAGCUGGGAAGGUGAACGGCCACACUGGAACUGAGAUAAGGCCCAGAAUCCCACGGGAGGUCGCAGUAGGGAAUCUUCGGAAAUGGGGGGAACCCCUAGCGAGCAACGCCGCGUGAGUGAAGAAGGUUUUCGGAUCGUAAAGCUCUGUUGUUAAGGAAGCGGUACUUAACCAGAAAGGGACGGCUAACUACGUGCCAGCAGCCGCGGUAAUAC
rnacentral:rRNA from 1 species